GUGAGGAAUAUUGGUCAAUGGGCGGGAGCCUGAACCAGCCAAGUCGCGUGAAGGAAGAAGGAUCUAUGGUUCGUAAACUUCUUUUGCAGGGGAAUAAAGUGCAGGACGUGUCCUGUUUUGUAUGUACCCUGAGAAUAAGGAUCGGCUAACUCCGUGCCAGCAGCCGCGGUAAUACGGAGGAUCCGAGCGUUAUCCGGAUUUAUUGGGUGUAAAGGGUGCGUAGGUGGUUUGAUAAGUCAGCGGUGAAAGUUUGCAGCUUAACUGUAAAAAUGCCGUUGAAACUGUCGGACUUGAGUGUAAAUGAGGUAGGCGGAAUGCGUGGUGUAGCGGUGAAAUGCAUAGAUAUCACGCAGAACUCCGAUUGCGAAGGCAGCUUACUAAGCUACAACUCACACUGAAGCACGAAAGCGUGGGGAGCAAACAGGAUUAGAUACCCGAGUAGUCC
rnacentral:rRNA from 1 species